CUUAUUUCCCCCACUUCAAUUCGAUUCUUUGCAGCAUUCAUGCAUGUAUAUAUGCAGGGAGGUUGCCAAUUGGUUCUGCAUUGAGUCGUACCGUGGAAGGAGAUCGGGGAGGAUCUGCAUUUCCGAUUGGGAAGGCAUAACUUGGCGUCAGGAAACUGAGAAAUCUGCUUUCUGAAAAGGGGAUCUUCAAGGGCAUGUGGAGUUAUGGCUCCUGAAGUUGCUUGCAGUGUAACUUAACUUGGACUCCUCAAGUAGAUGCCUCUACCUGGUACUCUUAUCAUUUAUGUAGGGAAACAAAGAUGAAAUUUGGAUUGUGAUACUUGACUUC